GUGAAGAGGAGGAGCAAGGUGUGGACCUAAGAAAAUAAUAAAUUCUGUGUAACUGACAGCAAAAACACAGACUUAGGCACUGUAUUCUAGCUGAUAAUGAUAUUUCUCAAUAGAUACCAGGUUAACAGCUCUAGUACUGCUAUACAUGUGUACUGAAAUUGAACAGUUAAAUAAAUGGAGGACAUCCACGUUUAUCACUGAUGGAGUGGGAGUUUACAGAUAAGCAGGAGGAGGAGGCCAGAAAGAUGCAUGUGGUGAUGGAUUAGAAUUGGAGACAUCCUGCCCUCAAGGAGAGAGAACAUAAAAGAACAUAAAUCCGCUUUUCAUCAAUGUGAGCUGCACCAACUUACCUCCUCCCAAAGAGCACAAAAUAGAAAGGAACGAAAAGAAAAGAGCAACUUUACAGUGAAGAAACCUACAAACACUACCUCAGCCAGCAGAGAGAGAAAGAAAGCAGAGCUCUUUGAAGCAGAGAAAGAAAGCAGAAAGCAGAGAUCUUUGAAGGCUUAAGAAACCAUAAGGAGUUUUGGAGAGUCAAUGCAUGAUGAUCUCUGAAGAUUCUACUGAAAUCUAAUCAAUAUGUCCUCACUGCCAUCAAUUCAAAAGAACUUGCUAAGAAGGCUCUAGAGGCUUGUACUCUCAGAUAGUGAAAGUGAGAUGAUGUGUAGUGAAAGUCAUAUAUAGGUUGUAAAUUGCAAUAUGGAAUUCCCAAAUGCUGAAUUCAUUUUAUCUCUUCGGAAAUAAAAACCUGUUAAAGAC
rnacentral:lncRNA from 1 species